rnacentral:rRNA from 1 species
GCUUUGCUGACGAGUGGCGGACGGGUGAGUAAUGUCUGGGAAACUGCCUGAUGGAGGGGGAUAACUACUGGAAACGGUGGCUAAUACCGCAUAACGUCGCAAGACCAAAGAGGGGGACCUUCGGGCCUCUUGCCAUCAGAUGUGCCCAGAUGGGAUUAGCUUGUUGGUGAGGUAACGGCUCACCAAGGCGACGAUCCCUAGCUGGUCUGAGAGGAUGACCAGCCACACUGGAACUGAGACACGGUCCAGACUCCUACGGGAGGCAGCAGUGGGGAAUAUUGCACAAUGGGCGCAAGCCUGAUGCAGCCAUGCCGCGUGUAUGAAGAAGGCCUUCGGGUUGUAAAGUACUUUCAGCGGGGAGGAAGGUGUUGUGGUUAAUAACCGCAGCAAUUGACGUUACCCGCAGAAGAAGCACCGGCUAACUCCGUGCCAGCAGCCGCGGUAAUACGGAGGGUGCAAGCGUUAAUCGGAAUUACUGGGCGUAAAGCGCACGCAGGCGGUCUGUCAAGUCGGAUGUGAAAUCCCCGGGCUCAACCUGGGAACUGCAUUCGAAACUGGCAGGCUUGAGUCUUGUAGAGGGGGGUAGAAUUCCAGGUGUAGCGGUGAAAUGCGUAGAGAUCUGGAGGAAUACCGGUGGCGAAGGCGGCCCCCUGGACAAAGACUGACGCUCAGGUGCGAAAGCGUGGGGAGCAAACAGGAUUAGAUACCCUGGUAGUCCACGCCGUAAACGAUGUCUACUUGGAGGUUGUGCCCUUGAGGCGUGGCUUCCGGAGCUAACGCGUUAAGUAGACCGCCUGGGGAGUACGGCCGCAAGGUUAAAACUCAAAUGAAUUGACGGGGGCCCGCACAAGCGGUGGAGCAUGUGGUUUAAUUCGAUGCAACGCGAAGAACCUUACCUGGUCUUGACAUCCACAGAACUUUCCAGAGAUGGAUUGGUGCCUUCGGGAACUGUGAGACAGGUGCUGCAUGGCUGUCGUCAGCUCGUGUUGUGAAAUGUUGGGUUAAGUCCCGCAACGAGCGCAACCCUUAUCCUUUGUUGCCAGCGAUUAGG